AUCAAGUUUGUCAUGUUAAUGUACUGUGAUUUAUAUGGAUUUGUACUGUUAAUGUUCUGUGAUUUAUUUACUUUUAGUAUUGUACAUUUUUGUUUGUGAGUGGAUAUGAUCAGAAACAUCGGACGUCAUAAAUGGAUAAAGGUAACUUGUAUAUGACAGAACAGGUUUUAUUGAUGUGUGUGACACAAUUCACUAGUUAUGGAAAGGACAUGACUAACAUCAUCUCAUCCCAAACUCAAAAAGGAAACGAAAUACAAACGUGAAGCUGGCUCGUUCCAACGUUGUAAAAGCAAAUGGUACUGUGUAAAAAAAUCUGACACUAACGGAUACUCAUAUAAAACCGGAUCGCAGAUUCAAAUAUUGAACGAGGAUCCAGAAGAAAAUGGUUUGCCAACAAUCACGGGUCGCCGGGUCGUUUUUUUUUGUGUGAAUGAAGGAGCAAACUUCCAAAUGGAUUAAUUUAUUGCAAUACGAGAUGUCAGAUUGGAUGAAGACGCAGGGCCAAAAGCUGAAGAAGUUGACAGACACAGAGAAUAAAAUGUCAAUAAGAAAAAAGACUAGAUGAUGUCAAUAGCAAUCAAAAUAAGUUGUGACCACAUAUAAACACACGAUCUUGCUCUUCUGGCUCACACUCAACAACAGAUGCUGGGAAAUACUAACAAUAUUGUAAACAACUCAGCUAGAUGGGUAAGAUGUAGGGACAGCUGGAGAGACUCGACAAAUACUGAGACUUUUGGAGGAAGUCAAUUGGCGGGUUGUGUUCAAUACAGGACAUCAGGCGAAGAUCAGAUGCGAUAUAUAAAUAUGAAUUAACAUGUAUAGACCUAUGCAUAGGAAGUUUGUAAGAAACUGUUAUAAUUUGUCGGUUAUGGAUUUAAUCAUAAAAUAAAAUGUAAUGUUUUCUUAUCUUGGCAAAUGAGGAAAAUAGAAAGUUUAAUAUCAGCCCAUCACUUCAAUGCAAUGCUGAUCUAUGAAAAUAAAUGUGAUUAAUCAGCUCAUCACUACUAGGCAUGGCUGAUUAAUGAAAAAAGUGAUUUAACUGUCCAUCACUACAAGGCAUUGCUGAUCUAGGAAAAUAAAACAUGAUUAAUCACCCCAACACUACUUGGCAUGGCUGAUCUAGGAAAAUAAAAAGUGACAAAUCAGCCAAUCACUACUAGGCAUGACUGAUCAAAUACUAGGCAUGACUGAUAAAGGAAAAUAAAAAUGUGAUUAAUCAGCUCAUCACUACUAGGCAUUGCUCAUAAAGGAACAUAAAACGUGAUUAAUCAGCCAAUCAGUACUAGGCAUGUCUGAUAUAGGAAAAUAAAACGUGAUAGUGAUUUAUCAGUCCAUCACUACAAGGCAUGGAUGAUCUAGGAAAAUAAAGUGAUUAAUCAGUCGAACACUACAAUGCAUUGCUGAUCAAGGAAAAUAAAGUGAUUAAUCAGCCCAACAAUACAAGACAUGACUGACCUAGGAUUAUACAAAGUGAUUAAUCAGCCCAUCACAACAAUACAUGGCUUAUCAAGGAAAAUAGUUAGUGAUUAAUCAGCCGAUCAAUACAAGGUAUGGAUGAUCUAGGACAAUAAAACGUGAUUAAUGAGCUCUUUACUACAGGCAUGGAUGAUCGAGGGAAAUAAAAACGGAUAAAUCAGCCCAUUACUACAAGGCAUGACUGAUCGAGGAAAGUAAAGAGUGAUUAAUAAGCCCAUCACUACAUGGCAUGGCUGAUGAAGAAAAAUUGAAAGGGAUGAAACAGCCCAUCUUUACAAGGCAUAAGUGAUUGAGUAAAAUGACGAAAUGAUUAAAUCGACUAUAUGACAUGAUGAUAUCCUUAACCAUUUGAUUAAUGCUUGAGACUUAAAUCGUUUUAAAAAGCACACAUGUAAUCUAUAAAGCAUCGAUUGAACAGGCUAUCUUAAUUUAUUAACAAAACUUAACUACGUCCAUGUUCCGGUACCGUGUUUUGGACCCUGAGAAAUUUGGUUUUCACAUGCGUAUAUUAUUUAGUAAAAAUGGUUUGAUGGUUGUUGUAAGUAAUCGUGUCUUAUUGGCAGUGAUCAUACGAAGCUUGAUUUUGUUAUAAGUGAGUACAUAUUGUUUCAAGUACAGUUUUAUAUCAAUACUUUCUUGAAAGGAUGCAAAUCUAUCAAAUUGUAAUGAAAGUGAUUCUAACUUUUACGAAUAUAUUCUUUGUUAUUUGGCCUCAACAUCCGAUUUAAGAGCAUGUUUAAUUACACGUUGUGCAAUGAUAAGAAGAACGGUCGUACCUUUAAAGCGUUUAUGUUUCUACCAAACCAAGAUUUUAUUCAAAACAUGAUGGUGGCUUGCAAUAACGCUACAAUGACAUUCACCAUAAAAAACUAAUUGGUAUUAUGUGUGUCUGAAAGAAAGUGCGCGCAAUAUGGAACAAUAUCGAUGUUUGAAUACUGUGUGAAUGUCAGUAAGUGAUAUGUAAUUACUUCUCUAUUUUUUUAUUUGGAAAUUGGAUCCAGUGCUACUAAAUAUGUUUCAUUUUUGCAUGUAUAACAUUUCAAUAAAUAAAAGUUUGUAAUCUU